rnacentral:rRNA from 1 species
GAUGAACGAGGGAGGAGGGAGGAACACAUGCAAGUCGAACGAGAAAUGGAGACGGAAACCUUCGGGCGGAAGGCUUCAUUUCGAGUGGCGGACGGGUGAGUAACGCGUGGGUAACCUGCCUCAUACAGGGGGAUAACAGUUGGAAACGACUGUUAAUACCGCAUAAGACCACAGCACCGCAUGGUGCGGGGGUAAAAACUCCGGUGGUAUGAGAUGGACCCGCGUUCGAUUAGCCAGUUGGCGGGGUAACGGCCCACCAAAGCGACGCUCGAUAGCCGAUCUGAGAGGAUGACCGGCCACAUUGGGACUGAGACACGGCCCAAACUCCUACGGGAGGCAGCAGUGGGGAAUAUUGCACAAUGGGGGAAACCCUGAUGCAGCGACGCCGCGUGAGUGAAGCAGUACUUCGGUAUGUAAAGCUCUAUCAGCAGGGAAGAAAAUGACGGUACCUGAGUAAGAAGCCCCGGCUCCCUACGUC